rnacentral:lncRNA from 1 species
UUUUUUCGAUUUUACACAAUAUACACAAAAGAAUACACAUAGAGAUGCCAUAUUCAGAAUACCUCACAGAUCCUCACUCUCAAAACACACAAAAAUCGCGCGCACACACACACAAAAAUUAGAGAGAGCAAGACGGACAAAGCCAAAAUAGCGAGAAAAAGAUCAAAAAGUGGACUGAUACCAGAAGAAGGGCGGUUAGAAUAGAGAACCAGCGAGAGAUCUAACUGUCUUCUCGAGUUUUUUCGAUGAACUUUUCGCCAAAAUUAGUUUAUAGUUCGUCUUUUGAUCGAUUCAGGCUUAAAAUCCCUAAAUCUCUUUGUUUCUGUUGAUUUCUAAGCAAAUUCGGUCGGAAAACACUAAGAUUCGUCGGAAUCCAUCUUGAUUCGUCAUUUUCUACCGCCGUCUGAGCUCACCAGAACUCGGGCUACAUUGGUUUUUGGUUUUCUAUCGUGUUGUUGGGGUUUUGAGUUCGUCUAUUUUCACAACUGUUGUUGAUAUCGGUCCUCGGGGUUUUCGUGAUCAAAUUGUGUCAACGUUUGUGAUUUGUGUUUCAUAUCAAGAGUUUUCCCACUGGUUUUGAAUCUGUCUGGAUCGUUAUUUCUUGAUAUUGAGUUGGAGUUUGGUUCGUUGUCGAGGUGCUUUAUUCGGGAUUCCAAGUUUGGGCUUUCUAAACAUUAUUAUCAACGAAAUUGGUUUUUCAAAGGUCCAUCCCUUAACUCUACUCCUUUAUUAUCUCAAAUGUGGGCAUGUCAUGAUUUUGUGGUGUGGUUUUGAAUAUUUUGAGCAAUGUCAAUUGUUGUUAUGGGUAUGAAUGACUCAUGUUCUUAAUAUGUUUGAAUCUUUGUUGGGUGUAUGUGUUUGAUGUUGGUUUCAGACUUUGAAAAGUGAUUUGAUAAUCGAAGAAUUUGUUAACCAUUGGUUGAGAAUGGAUCCGGGGCAGGAAUCAAAAAUUUGAUAAAAGAUGAAUAUAAAUUAGUUGUUUUGAUUCACUGUUAUUGUUACUUUAGCAUCCAAUUGUCAAUUCCUCGAUAGUAUCAUGAUAGGUCUAACAGGAUCGGCAAACAGUAGGCUUGGAUAGGCAAAUUUAGAAUUUGUGGAUUGUUGAGUAUGUGGAAUAUUUGUUGAAUGAUUUUAUGUUUUCUCGCAUUUGUAAAAUGUAUUCAUUUAGACGGGGAAUGCCCCGACGUAUCAUGUAUGCAAAGGAGGUUUUUGAUGAUGGCCCGAGGCAUCGGGUAAAGUAGUGGAGCUUAGUCUAGGAUUAGUUUAGAAUAGGAUUUACAUUUUUGCAAUUUUUUUAUUUUGGGACUGUAUAAUUCGGUUUGGACAUUAUUUUGGUUUUGAAUUUUGUUUGAUUUGUUUGUUUGCUUGUUUUGUGUGUUUAUGUGGUUUAUACAUUUUAUAGUGUCAAAUUAGCUGAUAUGCUCCACCAAGCUACCGUGGUCGAACCACGGGAUCGAGGGGUGCCUAACACCUUUUCCUCGGUCAAUAGAAUUUCUUAGUCGGAAUCUCUGUUUGCAAAUCAGUUUUUUUAAAGAGUCAAAAACAGUUUUGAAAAAGAAUUUUCAAAGGUGACUUGGCACACCUGAUUAUGCCAAGUGGUGACUCUGAAUUUAAAUAUAAAGGCACACCUGAUUAUACCAAGUGGUGACUCUGAAUUUAAAUAUAAAUAAUCCUUUUUCAAAAUAAAUUUUCAUUUUUGUCACUUAAUAAUAAAAACUCUUUCAAACUUUAAAAUAUAAUCUUUUUUGAUAAAAAAAAAAGGGUGUGACAGCCCUGGCGACUCUGCUGGGGACCAUUUUAGAAUUCGAGCUUAUUUUUGGAGUUGUAUCGGCUUAGUUUGGCUUUAUGGGUGUAUAGAUGUUGUUUGUGUUUUUGUUUGUAUUUGUUUUAUCAUGGUUGAGUGUCUACUUGCUACAUGUUUACAGUUUUUCCUUUUAUGUGUUACCACUUUAUAUCUGGCAUCAUUUGCAUAACCCGAAUCAAUUCUUUCUGCAAGAAGUUCUGUAGUACACGUUGUGUACACGACCUCUAAUUGAGUCACUCUUAUUUUAGAAGGGGGAGUCAUCGGCUGGUAUGGAGUAGGUGGAAAGAAAUUGCAGCCACUAUCGACCAUAUGCUCCCCCGAACAGCCUUAUUAGUGGACCCCAGCAUAGGUCAAUCUUUAGGUCAUGUUUAUCUGCAUCAUAUUGAGACCUAGCGGGACCCACUUGGUCCUUUGUAGGAGACUCACCCCUAAAAUAUCCUUACGUGUUAAUUGUUGCAUCUUUUAGGGUAAUAGGAUCAUUUAACAGACUGAUUCGGGAAAAGCUUGUUCUAGAAUUAAAAGAAAGUGUGUAGGCAAGGAAAAUUUCAAGAAAAAAAAGGAAAAAAAGAAAAGAAAGUGAGUCAAAAAAAGAGUUUCACAGUUUUUUAGAGUUCUUUAUGGCUUUUUUUUCAUAAUUCAAAAAUUCAAAAAAAGACUUUUCCCUAUUGUGCGCAUUUCUCAAAAAAAAACAAAAACAUCAAAAAGAUUGUCCUUUUGUUCCUUUAGCAUGCGUUCAUUAUUCAAAAAAAAAAAAAUUAAUAGGAGCUUUUUAUUAAAAGAAAAUUCAAAAAAAAUGGUAGAAGGUUUGUACAUUUCAUAUAAUGAAAAUAUCAAAAAGAUUUUUUUUCUUUCAUAGUUGUUGCUGUCAUUUUUGUGUGAAGUGUCAAAUUAAAAACCCAAAAAGAUUUUACUUUCAUCGUCUGUCUGUAAUCGCGUCGCUCAAGUUAAGUUUUAGUUUGUUAUCUAAUCCUUAAUUGUCCAAUCUGGACGAACUACGCAUACCUGAUUCUCGUCCCUCAGGGAGGGAUACAUAGGCAACCCUCGAUGGGUUCGGUAAUUCUUUAGUUCGAUCAUUGCCUCAGUCCUAGCCACAGGCCCUUUUUUUCUUAGUUUUGUAUUGUCGGUCAUAGCCAAACAGGCUAAUUUCAUUAGUAAGGCCAUUCAAUGCAUUUGAAUUACAAGUCGGUCUAUCCCUCCGUGUCAUACGACAUUUCUCCAUGUUAAAAUUCCGAGGGUUGGGAAUUCCUUUUCUCUUAUUGAAUUUUAAGUCAGUGUCCUAUGUGUUAAUAUAGGAUGGAUCCGUCUACAAAGUCUAGAGUCUUGAUGGUUUCCAAGGUGCCCAAAAAGUUAAUCAAAUGGUAGGGCAUGUUUAACUACGUCGAACAACAAGAGCUAACAAAGAAGUUAGGUACUCUCACCUCUAUCCUAGACCUCACGCCUGCCCUGAUCUGAUCGAGGCUAUAUUGACUUUUUGGGACCCAAAUUGUUUGGUAUUUAGGUUUGGAAGUUGUGAAAUGACGCCUACUUUGAUAGAGAUAUCUGGUUUCUUUGAUUUGUUUUACAUUAAGAAAAAGAUGAUUCGAGCGUGGAUUCAUUCUCCCACACGGUUCCUUCAUGAUUAUGGAUUAAAGAUGAAUAACCACCUGGGAUUCCUUAACCAAUCUUGGGUCUCCUUUGAUUACUUGUAUGCUCGGUUUGGGCCCUCAGACGGUUUUACUUGCUUUUGGGAUAAAUUCUAUACAACUAAGGAAAAUUGGAAGAAACGUCGUCUAAAAGACUUCACUCUUGCCUUGUUGGGCAUUUUAUUCUUUCCAUUAGAAGAAAGGUGGGUUAAUAGUCAUUUGCAGUCUGUAGUGAUGGCCUUAUUUCAUAAAAAGCUAGGGGAUACAUUCACUAUCCUACCUAUGAUCUUAGCAGAAAUAUAUAAUGCUUUGACCAAAGUAAAUGGGGGGAUGAGAUUUUUUUAGGAAAGCAACCUGAUAUUGCAAUUGUGGAUGAUGGAGCAUUUGCAUGCGCCUUCUUUGAUCAAAUCGAAUGUGGUCGACCGUUGUAUGCCCGAGCGAGUGAAAGCCAUGGAACACAGAAUGUGCUUUGAUAAGUUCUCACUACCAGUGAGAGUCGAUGCUUGGAUUGAACUUCUCGAGUCAAGAACUGAGGACAACAUUCUGUAGACCUAUCUCUAGAUUCAUCCAAAAAUAAUCCUAUAUGGUUGUUGGGUGCAGCUCCUUCUAGUUCUGUUAGGGCUCAAUUACACUAGGCCAUAACCUUCUUUUAGGGUGAUGCGCCAAUUGGGUAGAGUGCAAGACGUUCCACCAGUAAUGGAUCUUCUAAAGGAUGUUGAACAUUUUAAAAACCAAGCCUUAGGUGAGAGCAAAUAUGAACAGUUCUGGCAUCACACAACAAAGCUAGGUGUGGAUACUCUCAAAGUAGGUUUGCACAAUCUGGGAUACACUCAAAGAUAUGAGAUCUGGCUGCAAUCCAUACCUCAGGGUAUCAGUAGGCCAUUACUAGUUCAACUUAGAGGAAGGAUGCGGGAAGCAUACAUAGUUGAGGACAGUGAGAAGGAAGAUAGAGAUGCUAAAAUGGAGCUAUUGAGAGUUCAGUUAUCAGCUUUGAUCACAACUAUAGAGGGGUACCAGAAAAAACUUUUUGGGUGUACUCUCUAAGAGGCAGGGACACGUACGAGAAGCUUCCUACCGAGUAUCAAAGUGUCGUUGAAGGAUAUGUUGCAAAAUUUGAGUGGACUUCCCAGACAAGUCCAUCUCAGCCAGGGCCAUCACGCAGCGUAGCAGUUUGAAGGGGAACUUCCUAUCUUUUAUUUAGUUUGAGUCCUUUGUUUUUCUAUCAUUGUAUUGUUGUGUCUUUGUUAAGUUGGUGUCAAGUUUGUUUUAACAUUAGAAUCUUUCUUAGGAGUGUUACGCAUGUUGUCUUGUGGGUUUAGAGUGUUCUUCAGUCUUUGUUGAUUAGUAUUAAGGUUGUCUUAAAUUCGAAACUUGUUUUAGUUGUUUCUUUUAUGAAAUGUAAUGAUGUUGCGUUGUGCCUUUUUUUUUUGUUUUCAUCAUUAAAAAAAAUAAAAAAUCAUCAACUUUGUGCAUACUUCCCAAACUAUGCAAGAUCUAAUUCAUGUAUAACAUGAUACGUAGCAACUUAUUUUUGCGUUCGAUCUAAUCAUUUUAUUUCUUUGUUUUCCUCAAAUUAUUCUCCUUUACAGAAAAACAAAAACCACAAAGAAUGAUUAAAAAAAGAAUAGUAAGAGAAGAAAAAAAAAAGAAAGAAUAGUGAGAGAAGAAAAGGGAAGAAAAAGAGACUGAUGCAAAGAAGAGAGAAGCGGGGGCAAAAAGUAUAAAAGAAUGAGGUGUGGUGAGAGGGGAAGAAAAAAUAGUAUAAGGGAGAGAUCGGGAUGAUGUUAAAAUGGCCUCAUUACCCUCAAAGGCUGGUAGAAAUGCGCAUGAAUCUAGGAUGUGUAUACAAUGUGAUUUCCAUGCUUGUUGUGUGACCUAAUCCUAACAGGUUUUGUCUUUGAUGAGCAUGUUCUUUCAGAUAAAAGUGGUUGGCUUAUAGCACUCUGGCUAGUCAUCCUUACUUUACUAGAUCAAAAGCAAAGCUCGCCAUGUCCAACAAAGAAGUAGAAAAUUUGCUCAUUGACCUGAACCAGAGUCCUGGUGAAGGAGGUUCCGAACAUAAUGAAGAGAUAUUGAGACUCAGACAACAACUGGCAGAAAUGCACCAAGCCUGGGUCAGUGGCAUGUCUCUUUCUCUAUACCCAGAUGAUCUCGGCACACUUCCAAUUAUUCGUCGCUAUCUCAGGUGCAGUUUUAUGGUCCUACUAAUACGCCCUAUCAUGCGCCCAGAUUCAUGGAACAUCAGUACUAUCAUGGAACUUCUGGUGUGCCCUUGACAGUCCCUCAAUAGAGGCCUUCUUCUCAUUUAGAACCACCUACGGCACCUGUGUUUGUGGAUCCUCCACCACCUGAAUCUCUUACUUAUGGUGUUCGUCUAAUAAUCAUGCUCCCUAGAUCUACUAGUGAGCCGGUGUUGAAGGUUUCGGAUGAUCAUUAUUAUGCCCCGAAGCCUACUUUGAAUAUAACUAAACCGAAUGGGGACACUUAGCCACUUGUAUUUCUAUUUGAUAUAGAGAAACCUAUUGGAACAAAGGAACAAGAAGUCAUGGCAUGGAAAUUGAAGAGUCUAGAAUAGGCCAUGAGAAAUUUACAGGGACUUGGGGGUUAUAAAAGUGUUUCGUAUAAAGAUUUAUGUAUGUUUCUAGGUGUUAACCUUUCUCUUGGCUUUAAGAUGCCGAAGUUUGAGAAGUAUGAUGGACACAGGGCUCUGGUGGCGCAUUUGAGGCAUUAUUGUAAACAAUUAAGGGGCGCUGGAGGUAAAGAAGAAUUACUCAUGGCCUAUUUCAGUGAAAGUCUUUCGAGUCUAGCCUCAGAUGGUUUGUGGAUUAGGACAUCGACAAGUGUAAUAGUUGGGAUGACCUGGCUAAUAAAUUUGUGCAAGAAUUUCAAUAUAAUGUGGAACUAAUCACUGAUGAGAAAUCCUUGACUAAUAUGAAGAAGAAGAGUACUAAAAGCUUUAGGGAGUACGUGAUAAGGUGGCGUGGACAAGCCGCUAGGAUAAAACCUCCGAUGAAAGAAAGUAAAUUGGAGGAGGUCUUUAUUUAGACAUAAGAUGAAACCUAUUUCCAACACUUGCUUCCGGCGAUGGGUAAGUCAUUUAUCGAACUUCUCAAAAUUGGAGAGAUGAUAGAAGAGGGUAUCAAGAUCGAACGAAUCAUGAGUUUUGCUGCAUUAAAGGCCACCACCCAAGCAAUUCAGAGUGGUUCUGGAGCUUUUGGUGGGAAAAAGAAGAAAAAAGAUGUAGUGACUCUUGUAGCUGGACCACAAGCCUAUCCAAAAAAACUGCCUCGCCCCUAUCCCUAGUCUCAAGCCUAAGUCUAUGACCAAGUCCCAUAUACUCCCCCCAUCAUUACUACCCUCCGAAAAACCCACUAUAUUCUAUUCCACCACUCUUAUACCCAGUAUAUAGCGCACAGCCAUAUGUCCAAACCCCUUCCUACCCAUAAUAGCGUGCACCAGAUCCUCAAAAUCUUCCCUCAACACCACAAAAUUACCAAAAACCUUCCAAAUCUAGUUUUCAACCUACGAUUGAGUUUAAUAAAGUAAAGUUAGUCAAGAAUAAGUUCACACCUCUUGGGGAGUCAUAUUCUAGUUUGUUUCAAAGGUUAAAGAAGAUGAAGGUCUUGAGCCCAAUUCAAGGAAGCUUUCGAAUCCACCUCCAAAGAAUCUUGAUUAUUCUUUAAUGUGUAGAUAUUGUUCUGACAUGUCGGGGCAUGAUAUUGAGAAAUAUUGGUAUUUGAAAAGAGCCAUCCAGGAUCUGAUCAACACAAAUCAGAUUAUGAUACCAACCCCAGAGAUUCCAAACAUCAACCAAAAUCCAUUGCCAGCCCAAGUUGAAACAAAUAUGAUGGAGUUGAUAUAUGGUGGCAAAGAGUUGUUGAUGUGUUACAAUCCUAUUGUUAGAAUACAAACUAAUGAGGAUAAAUCGUUAAAUAUGGCGGAUUCAUUGAAGGCGAUGUCAUUGAGCCAAGAAGAAACGGUGGAAGACAAAGCCCAAGAAAACACGAGCAAACCCGUGAUCAUUGUAAAAGAUGUCAGAAAAAUUGGUGUUUAAAGUCAGGACAAACCCAAGUUAACGGUAGUAGGAGCUCCGAGCAAGCUUAUUUUGAUGGUAAAAGGAGUACUUGUAGCACCUAAUGUCAUCAAGUCGGUGACCCAACUCUCAUUAGUCGAUACAAAAAGGGUCCCCUAGAGGUAUAAUCAGACUAUGGUGACUUAUCAGGGGAAGAAAAUCUUGGAAGAAGUAGAUGAGGUAGGGUUUUGACUCUUUCAAGGAGAUAUUUUGUGCUAGAAGGGUUGAGAAAGUCUAAACCAAUGAUGAAUGGGCAAUCAUCUUAAAAAAGCCUAUCACCAAAGAAGAAGCUGAAGAAUUCUUGAAGAAUUUGAAAUUGCUAGAAUAUUUAAUCAUAGAUCAGUUGAAGAAGACUCCUACUCAAAUUUUCUUUAUAUCUUUGUUGUUAUAUUCUGAGGAACAUCGUAAUGUUAUAUUGAAGGUGUUGAAUGAAGCUUAUGUUCCUAAGGAAAUUACGGUGAAUCAGUUGGAUAAAAUUAUUGGAAAGAUCUUUGAGGUGAAUCGAAUUAGCUUUUCCAAAUGAUGAACUGUCUGUAGAAGGUAUAGGGCAUAACCGAGGACUUUACAUUACUAUGAAAUGUGAAAAUUUCUAUAUCACACGUGUCAUGAUUGAUGGAGGUUCUGGAUCUAAUAUUUGUCCUAUGUCCACCUUGCAAAAGUUGAAUAUCAGUUUCGAGAGGAUUCGACCCAAUAAUGUAUGUGUCAGAGCUUUUAAUGGAGCAAAAACAGACUCCAUUGGUGAAAUAGAUCUAAUACUAACUAUAGGGCCUAUUGAAUUCUCCAUAGAGUUCCAAGUAUUGAAUAUCGACGCCUCUUACAAUUUAUUAUUGGGAAGACCAUGGGUUCAUAAGGUUGGGGUGGUUGCAUCUACAUUGCAUUAGAUGAUCAAGUCUGAGCAUGGCAACCAAGAAGUAGUUAUUUAUGGUGAAGGGGAUUUUUCCAUCUCCAAAGACUCUUCCAUGCCUUUUAUUGGAGCAAAUAAUGUAGAGGAAACAUUUGUCUAUCAAUCUUUCGAUAUAAUGCUGGUAGAUCAUAUCUUCGAAGGGCAGGUUAUACCAGGGCCACAGUUAUCUUCUACUUCUGUCAUGAUGGUAAAUGAGAUGUUGAAAUAUGGAUUUGAGCCAGAAAAGGGUUUACGGGUGUCUCUACAUGGUAUAGUUCAUCCUAUAUGCCCGAGUGAGAACAUGGGCACUUUUGAUCUAGGAUUCAAACCUACAGUUGAAGAUUGGAAAAAGGCCAGGAAAAGGAAGAAGGAAACGUUGUCACUCCCUUACCCAGUGUCGCUACUCAGUAAGUCGUUUGUCAAGAGCAGUGUCAUAAAGCUAUAGAGUUCAAAGCUGAGUUAGUUGAUGACUUCCAAAACCUGUUGGUUAAAGUUGAUAGGGUUAAAGUGGGAGAAGGUACCAGCAAGGUAGAUGCGCAGUUCAUAAGUCCUGAUGUUCGACUCAACAAUUGGGAAGUUACUACUUUCCCCAUCAAGAGGGAGUUUUGGUAGUUUGUCUUGUUUUUCUUUCUGUUUAUCCAAGUUAUUUCAGGGUUGUAAUUUGGAAUUUAUCUUGUUUAUGUUCUGUUUUCAUUUAUGUCUAAACCCUUCUAUCUUUUCUUUUAAAUGAAACGCAAUGUCCCUUUUGUUUUAUGUCUACUAUAUCUUGUUUGUCUUUUUUCCUUAUACAGUUCUCUUUAUGUUGAUUCUAGUGAUAUGACAUGCAUGCAGAAUUUUUAGACUGAUCUUAAAAUCCAAUCUAAUCAAGAUAUAAUGAAGCAAGAGGUGGAAUAUGAUGAAGAAGAGGCAUUUGAGGAAGUAAGCAAAGAAUCAAAACAGUUUGAAGAUAAGGCGAACCAUAAUUUGAAUAAAACUGAGCCAAUUAAUCUAGGAGAUCAAGGAGAUAUUAAGGAAACUAAAAUAAGUGUACAUGCUUUGCUACAUCUAAAAGUGGGAAUGAUUCAAGCAUUAAUCGGUUGUAAAGAAGUUUUUGCAUGGUCUUAUGAUGAUAUGCCUGGUUUAAGCACUGAAUUAGUGGCUCAUAUAUUGGCAACUGAUCCUUCAUUCUCUCUUGUCAAACAGAAGUUGAGAAAAUUUAAAACUGAUGUAAGUAUAAAAAUCAAAGAGGAAAUCAUGAAACAACUUGAGGCCAAAGUCAUUUGAGUGGCCCAUUAUCCUACUUGGUUGUCCAAUGUUGUUCCUGUUCCAAAGAAAGAUGGCAAGAUUUGAUUAUGUGUUGAUUAUAGGGAUUUGAACAAAGUAAGUCUGAAGGAUAAUUUUCCACUGCCCAAUAUCCAUAUUUUUCUUGAUAAUUAUGCUAAACAUGAGGUAACAUCUUUUGUGGAUUGCUAUGCUGGGUACUAUCAAAUCAAUAUAGAUGAUAAUGAUGAGGAAAAGACAUCUUUUAUCACACCAUGGGGAACUUAUUAUUACCGAGCGAUGCCGUUCGGCUUGAAGAAUGUUGGAGCAACAUACAUGAGAGCAAUGACCACUAUAUUUCAUGAUAUGAUGAUGUAGAUGAUGUGAUUAUUAAGUCAAAGAAUCAGUCUGACCAUGUUAAGGAUCUAAGGAAGUUCUUUGAAAGGCUUCGCAGGUACAAUCUCAAACUUAAUUGGAAAAUAUGUAUUUGGAGUGACGUCUGGAAAGCUGUUGAGGUUUGUAGUUAGUCCGUCGGGGUAUUGAAUUGGAUCCUUCAAAGAUAAAGCGAGAUUUGUCGUCGUCCAAGAACAGAACAUAGGUAAUGAGUUUGCUUGAUAGAUUGAACUACAUCAGUAGGUUCAUUGCUCAACUCACAACCAUUUGUGAGCCCAUAUUCGAGUUACUGAAGAAGAGUGUUACAGUGGAGUGGACUGAGGAAUAGCAGGAAGCAUUUGAUAAAAUAAAAAAAUAUCUGUCUAAUCCACUUGUGUUGGUACCACCGGAUCCUGGUAGGCCUUUAAUCUUGUAUUUAUCAAUUAUGGACAACUCCUUCAGUUGUGUCUUGGGUCAACAUGAUGUCACGUGUAAAAAGGAGCAAGUUAUUUAUUAUCUUAGCAAAAAGUUCACAACAUAUGAAGUCAGGUACACUCUUCUUGAAAAGACGUGUUGUGCCCUAACUUGGGUAGUGCAGAAAUUGAAGUAUUAUUUUUCAUCCUACACUAAUUAUCUCAUCUACCGCAUGGAUCCUUUAAAGUAUAUCUUUCAAAAGCCUAUGCCAACAUGUCAAUUGGUGAAGUGGCAAAUAUUGCUUACCGAGUUUGACACUGUAUAUGUGACUCGAACAGCCAUGAAAGCCCAAUCCUUGGCAGAUCAUCUUGCUAAGAACACCAUUGAUGAAGAAUAUGAACCAUUAAAGACAUAUUUUCCUGAUGAAGAGGUGUUGUGUGUCGGUGAAGUCAUUAUAGAUGUUGAUCCAGGUUGAAAGAUGUUCUUUGAUGGAGCUGUUAACAUGAAAAGAGUAGGAAUAGGUGAGUACUGAAUAAAAAAUUAACAUAACACAUGUGCGGAAGAUAAACUCAGAAGGUAAUGCAAAUCCGAAUACUAAAAUACCAAAUCAAUCAUAAGUUUGAAACAUCUAGUAAAGUACUAAAAACCAAACUGUCUAGCUGAAACAACUGAUAAGACUGAUAAAAACUGACUAAUUGUCUAAUUGACUGUCUGAUUGUCUGAAAACCUCUAAACUGACUAAGAAUUUGAUGGGACAUGUGCCCAACUAACUUCGACUGACUGAAAAUAUAGAAUACUGAGAUAACUAAAUAAUCAUAAUAUGUCCUCGAUGGAUGAGACCACUAUGUCUGUUGAAUUAUGCUGAAUUGUCUAACUGUGGUCGAGAUAUUGUGCAUCUGAACUUAUGAUAUAAGACAUCAUAGCACAAAGAAGAGUAUAGUCAGUACUUUAAAUAUACUGGUAUAUGAGAUAGGGACUAGCUGAUAUGCACGGGGUAUUAUGCAAAUGAAAUAAGGAAUAACUAAAUAGCAUGAGAUAACUGAACAUGAAUGCAUGAAAACUGUAACAUCUGAGAAUUCAAGACCAAGCAUACACAUAUAUCUGAAAUAAUUUGUAAAUUGAAGGACUGAAAUCUGAUAACUCAAUAACUGAGAAUUUGUAUGCUUUGGUCAAACAAACCUGAACUGAAACUAUACUGAAUAUUGCACUGAGACUGUGGGAGGCAUCAUUUAACCAACAUGCCCCAAUCUAAGCUAAUCGCAGUCCAACCUGUAACCCCAGUUGGAAGAGUGUCAAUAUCAUGCCACGGGUACUAACAUUGGCUGUGUAGAUCCACUAAACUGGUGUCCCGAAGGACUAAGGAGUCACCCUCAACUGGCAGGUGCUCCAAUGAGAUAUGUGUCACCCUACACCUUGUCAACCCUCAAUUGGCAGGUAGACAUCUCUAAGCUACGCUGGCUGCGUAGUUCUGUAACUUGGGGAUUUCUACUAAGGGUCACACCCUCUACUGUCAGGUGAGCCCUUAUCCUUGAGUUUACUCAGUGUUAAAUCCUACUUAUAACUGAACUAACACUGAUACUGGAAUGGACUUAACUAGACUAAACAUUAUUACAUAACUUAUGGUGCUCAUCAUGAUCAUAAACAUAUAAGUAUACUGAUAAGAGUCAUGGAUUAACUGUCUGAGUACUUGAAAAGCUGAAUUUAUGUAAAACACAUAGGUAUUGGGUGUUCAUAACCCACCAGCACUGAAUGAAUAUAAGUAUGAAAUAUCAAACUUGAAAGAUAGUAAUACUUGAUUCUAGUUUAAAACCCCAAACAUGGCAGUUCAUCAAAACAGGUGAAAAUCAUAAACUUAAACAUGAGAAUAUCUUAAACAUGAGGAAACAAUAGGAUUUUAUGGCUAAACUCAUAACUUGAGGAUUCAUCCUAAAACCAAUUGAACAUGACAUAGAAAUUUCAAUACUCAAACAUGAUAUGAUUAAUUCUACUUGAAAAUACUUGUAACCAUAACUUGUAAUUGAAUUAACAAGAGAUUCAUGGAGUUAGUUCAACUUGAACAUUUAAAACUCAUAAUUUAAAACACCAAAAAGGGUUCUUGGACUCCAUGAGUGAAAGGAACCCAUGGAUGAACAUGACACAUACCUUAAUGGCUGAAAUCUUGAAGAUUGCUUGAACUUAAGAGCUUGAACCCUUGUGUUCUUAAGAUGAAAGUAAGGGUUUGUUCUUGGGGAAAAAAGGGUUUCUUAAGAGAGUUUAUGAGUAAAAGGGAAAAUAAUGCUCCUUAGGGACUCAAAUUUCAUGUUAUGGAUGAGUUGGAUGAAGGGGAAAUGACCCAAAUGCCCUUAAAUGACAUGGAACAAAAGUGGACAAAAAGGGGAGGGGCGAGCUCUGAAGUGGGGGACUAGGCCAGGCGGUGCCCGCCUUACCUCGAUGGACUGGACUAGGUGGCGCCCGCCUUACCUUGGUGGACUAGAACAGGUGGCGCCUGCUUAUCCCAAUGAUGCUACUGUUUUGGUUUUCCAAACACGCCCCUACAUACAUUUAAAAUAACAUACUUUGAACCACCCCGAUCAUGAAUCAACUCAAAAAAUGAGAUCCGAGGUAGGGAAGACCAAAAAUAAAAUCAUUGAAGUUUAGGGGCCUUGGAAAUGACUAAGUCCUCAACACUUAGUAAAAUUUCUAAGUCUUAGACCCCUUUCAACAUGAAAUCACGAGCUGAAUUGAGCUAGGAUCUUAUAGGGCAUUACAAUAUCUCCCCCUUAGGAAAAUUCAUCCUCGAAUAAGGCUGGUUAGACUGAGACUACUGAGGAAAUUGGGGUCAUAUACUAAACAUGCAUAAUUGAAAAUAUGAUUGCAUAACUGAGUCUGAAGCAUGAUACAUAAGCUAAACUAGUUUCGUGAAUGCAUGAAAUGACAUGAGGAUGGAUAUAUAGAUGAAACAGGGAACUGGAAAGAAUCAAUUUAAAGAAAAUUGUUACUUUAAGUUGAAUCUGAGUUUGCGGAGAAAAAAUGAGGGUACUUGGUUCGCAUAUUUGUUUCUGCUUCCCAAGUGGCUCCCUCAACGGAUUGAUUCCGGCAAAGAACUUUGUCCAAGGGAACUUCUUUGCUCCUUAGUCUAUGAAACUGACGAUCAAGGAUCUCAACUGGGACUUCUUCGUAAGAAAGGCUAACAUGAAUAUCCAUACUUUUUAAUGGAACAACAACAGCUGAAUCACCAAUAUACUUCUUCAACAGGGAAACACGAAACAUUGGAUGCACUGAUGUUAAAUCUGCAAGCAACUCAAGCUAAUAAGACAUCUUUCCAAAAUGACCCAAGAUUUUUAACGAGCCAACAUAUCGGGGACAGAGUUUCCCCUUCCUGCCAAAUCUCAACACUCUCUUCAUGGGAGAUAUUUUUAAAUAGACUAAGUCAUCAACCUCAACCUCAAGAUCUUUUUUCCUCACAUCUGCAUAAGAUUUCUGAUGGCUUUGGGCAGUCUUCAGCCUCUCUCUAAUUAACUAAACCCUCUUCAUUACCUCAAACACUGAAUUUGGCCCUACCACUGUAGCCUCGCCUGCUUUAAACCAACCAAUAGGAGAUUUACAUCUGCUUCUAUAGAGAUCCUUAAACGGAGCUAUCUGAAUACUGGAGUGAUAGCUGUUGUUAUAGGCAAACUCAAUCAAAGGUAAAUAGUCAUCCCAACUACCUUUAAAGUCAAUGACACAAGACCUUAACAUGCCCUCUAAGGUUUGAAUAGUCCUCUCUACCUGACCAUCUGAGGAUAAAAAAUUAUACUGAGAUGAACUUGGGUACCCAAACCCUUCUGAAAAGCCUUCCAAAAGUGAGAGGUAAACUGAGUACCUUUAUCUGAAAUAAUAGACAAUGGAAUUCCAUGCAACUUAACCAACUCCCUAAGGUAAAGUCUAGCAUAAUCCUCAGUUGAGUGCGAAAUAUGAACUAGUAAGAAAUGAGUUGAUUUGGUCAUUCUGUCUAUAAUACCCAUAUCAAAUCAUACUGACGAUGAGUACGAGGCAACCCCAUCAUAAAAUCCAUGUUUACCACUUCCCACUUCCAAGUGGGGAUGCUGAACUCCUGUAAUAUACUACUAGGCCUCUGUUGCUCAACUUUAACUUGCUAACAAUUAGAAUACUUAGCUACAAACUCUGUAAUAUCUCUCUUCAUACCACUCCACCAAUAGACUUACCACAAAUUGCGAUACAACUUAGUGGCUCUUGGUGUAUAGAGUAAGGCGUACCAUGCACUUCUACGAGAAUUCACUGCCUCAAACCAUCAACACACGAAACCACAGCCUACCCUGACAAUACAACACACUAUUUCUCUCUUGGGAAAAAACCUCUAUCUUCUGAUCUCUAACUGAUUCCUUCAAAUUAACCAAACUAGGAUCCCUAUCGUGCUUUUGUUUUACUUCAGCAACCAAUGAAGAUUCUGAACUAUUCUGAACCCAUACACUACCUUCAGCUGAAUCAACCAACCGAACACCUAAUUUACCAAGUUAAUGAACCUCCCUGACUUACUUGUUCUUAUUCUCAUCAACAUGGGCAACACUACCCAUAUACAAUCUACUCAGGGCAUCUUCCACUACAUUGGCCUUACCCGGAUGAUAAAACACACUCAUAUCAUAAUCUUUUAACAACUCAAUCUAUCUUCUCUGAUGAAGAUUCAAAUCUUUCUGUGAGAACACAUAUUGUAAGAUUUUGUGAUCCGUGAACACAUCAAUACGAACUCUAUAAAGGUUAUUCCUCUAAAUUUUUAAGGCAAAGACAAUAGUUGCCAACUCAAAAUCAUGAGUAGGAUAAUUAUUUUCAUAGGGUUUAAGCUGUCUAGAGGCAUAGGAUAUGACCUUACCUCUUUGCAUCAAAAUACAACCCAGACCAACUCUGGAAGCAUUAUAGUAAACUAUAAAUCCAUCCAAACCAUCUGGUAAGAUCAAGACUGGGGAUAAGGUGAGAUGAGUCUUCAACUCCUGAAAACCCUUCUCGUAGGAAUAUGACCACUAAAAAUUUCACUUUCUUCUGAGUCAAUUGGGACAUGGGGAAGCAAUAUAAGAAAACCCUUCAACAAACCAUCCGUAAUAGCCCGUUAAACCCAAGACACUUCUAAUAUCUAAUGGAGAGAUAGGUCUAGGCCAGUUUCUCACUACUUUGGUCUUUUGAGGAUCAACUCUAAUGCCAGCACCAAAAAUAAUAUGGCCAAGGAAAUCUAUUUUAUCUUAGCCAAAAUUCGCACUUACUAAAUUUGGAAAACAACUGAUGGGCUCUAAGAUUCUACAAUACAAUUCUGAGAUAGUCUGCAUGAUCAUUCUCAUAAUGGGAAUAGACAAGAAUAUAAUCAAUAAAGACUAUGAAGAACAUGUCCAAGUAUUGCUUAAACACUCUGUUCAUCAGUUCCAUGAAAGCUGUAGGGGCAUUCGUUAGUCCUAAAUGCAUAACUAGAAAUUUGAAGUGGCCAUACCGAGUUCUGAAAGUUGUCUUUGGAAUGUCACAUUCUCUGACUCUAAGCUGAUGAUAGAUGGAUUUGAGGUCUAUCUUAUAAAAAUAACUAUCACCCUAAAGUUGGUCAAACAAGUCAUCAAUUCUUGGGAGUGGGUACUUAUUCUUGACUGUGACUUUGUUCAACUGACGGUAAUCAAUGCACAUCCUGAGAAAACCAUCUUUCUUACGCAUGAACAAGAUUGGAGCACCCCAUGGAGAAACACGGGGCCUGAUGAAAGAAUUAUCUAAGAGAUAUUUCAACUAUUCUUUCACUUCCCUAAGCUCAGCUAGAGCCAUUCUAUAGGGUCGAAUAGAGAUAGACUGGGUAUCUAGAAGGAGAUCUAUUGUAAUACCCCAAAAAAUCCAAACCAAUAUUAGAGACAUGUACCAAGCUCAUGCAUAGUACAUCAUGGUUAUUUUAUAGUUUUAUGACUAAUUUAUAUGUGUAUUAAGGCUUCAAAUAACUCCCAACUAUCAGAUGAAUCAAAAUAUUCCUUACCGAUUGAAUUCUUGAGAAGGAUAUGGUAUAAUCAACUUCAAAUGAGCAUAUCUCUCAUUAUACUUGGAAUUUUUUAUCUCAUGACCUAUCAAAAUAUAUAUAAUUGAAUUAUCUUUAUAACGAUACCAAUUUUGCCUAAAUUUGAUAUUGGAGCACAGAGUUAUUCCUAUUUUACUCUAGCAUGUCAGGCUGGAAACAGUGUGACAAUAUUUGUGGUAGCUUACCACAUUUGUGACGCACUAUCACGAAGGUUGUCAGCCUUAGGAAAAAAUCAGAUCCUAAGUGACGACAUUCGUGGUAGCUUACUAUAUUUUUUAUGCCAUGUCACAAAUGUCGUCAGCCUUAGGCAAAAUAUAGCUUGUGUGAUGACAUUUUUUACGACUUACCACAUUUUUGACGCCAUGUCAAAAAUGUCGUUAGCCUUAGGCAGAAUUCAGCUUCUGUGUGACGACAUUUUUGAUGUCUUACCACAUUUUUGACGUCAUGUCACAAAUGUUGUCAACCUUAUGCAGAAUCCUGAUUCUAUGUGAUGACAUUUUUUACGGCUUACCAUAUUUUUUAUGCCUCAUCACAAAUGUCAUCAACUAUUAUCUUCAGCAACUAGGAAUUUAUUUCAUGAGGGUAUUUUGGUCUUUUUCCUUCACUUCCCAUGACUUAUAACCCUAAAGGCAUAAUUUUUCCCAUUUUUCUUCAGUUAAGCAUCUCAAAAACCCUCUCUUACGCUUUCAAACACAAGAUUAGGGUUUCCAUCAAACUCAUCUCUCAAAAGCAAGAUUCAAGCCUUUUUCCAAGAUAAUCAAAAAUUAAGUUUCCCAAUCCAAGAACUCUCCAGCAAAUCAUCAAGGUUUCCUUUCUAAGGUAUGCGUAGUGUUCAUCUAUGGAUCCAAUCCGUUCAUAGAGCUUAAGAACCAUGUUGUAAAUACUAUUUUGUGAACUUUUUGUGGUGAUAUGAGUAUGUACAUGUUGAUGAUUGUUGUUUAAGUUUCAAGAUGAUAUCUAGCGGUGUUUUCAUGGAAUAUAUAUGCUUGUUAGUUGAAAACUAUGAACCUUAGAUGGUGUAAAAUGGUACAAGUUAUGAAACACACCUAUGCCUUAAAGAUUGCAUGCAAGGUGUUUGAUAAAAUGCUUAGAAUGCUGAAAUUUAUGUUUAUAUGGUUCCAUGAUGUCUAAAUGACAAGUCCAUGUUAGCUAUAUGCUUUAGUAUAAAUUUCGUGCUUUUCAUGUGCUGCUAUUGUUGUGGUAUGAAGCAUGUAUGAUAAUGGAGAUAUACAAUAUGCACAUGAAAUAUAGCUAUGCACUCCCUACCAUGAUUAAUAUGUCGAGGAACUACAUGAAGUAUAAUAUCCCCUACUUAUGAUAAUGUGAAUUGUGGACUCCAAUCUUAUGAUCAAGUCAGUCAUGUUGUGACAGUUUCCUUCCAUCGAGUCCUGGGGGUAUUCGUACCCGAAAAUAUAGUUGUGUGCCUAGAGACAUGUCAUGUUAUCACGACACUCUCAGUCAAGCCAUGAUCUAUAGAAUUCAGUUAGUCAUAUGACUCAGGAAAAUCUAGUAACCUCAGUAAUCUCAGUAGUUCAGUAAUCUCAGUUAUCUCAAUACUCAGUAAUAUCUGUAACCUCAGUAUUCAAAGUCAAUCUUAGUAACUCAUUACUCUCAACCAGUCCUCAGAACUCAGUAUCUUCCGUCAGUCAUCAGAAUCCAGUAAACUCAGUUUUAGCUCUGCUAAAUAAUACCACUAUUUUCAGUUCAGUUAAUCAGUAUCAGUUCAGCAAAUCAGUUCAGUUAAGUUAUUUAGUUUAGCCUAGUUAUUCAGUUUAGUAGCUUUUAGAUGGGAGUAGGAUUCAGCACUGAGCGAACCUAGGGAUGGGGGUUCACCCGCUAAAGUAGGGCUGAGAUCCCUAGAAGCAAUCCCUAAGUUCCAAAACUACGUAGCCAGCAUAGGUACGAGAUGCCACCCGUUAGAUAGGACUGACAUACUCAGGGGUCACCCGUUAGUACAUUUAUAUGUAUAGGACUAAUCCCAAGAGUCAACCGCUAGAUUAGGACUGACUCCACAGCAGAUGUCUUUACUGGUGGCGCGGUACUGACGCCCUUCCAGUCAGGGCAGAGAUUGGACCCCAGUCAGCUUAGCUUGGGGCAUGUCGGUUAUAUGAACACAUCCCACAGUUUCAGUUAUAGAUUCAGGACUGUCAUAUAUAGUCAACUCAGUUUAGUAGUACAGAUUCAGUACUGUUAGAUACAGUCAAUGCUUAUCAUUGUAAAUAGACUUCAAGAUCCCCCAUUAGCUAGGACCGAUCUCAACUAUGAUUAAUCAGUAUCAAAAUCAUUAGAUUUAAAGAUCACCCGCUAGAUAGGACUGAUCUCAGACUAAGUCAAAUCAUCCUUAUUAUUAGUAUGCUCAUGAUCAACCGCUAGAUAGGACUGAUCUCAGAUUUAGUUAUUCCAAGUAGAACGGAACUCAGAUAAUUCCAUCAAAACUUAGACUGUUAAAUACAGUCGCUCAGUAUUAGUUACAUCGGUUAGGAUGAUCAUCAUAGUUAUAUCAGUUAUAUUAGUUUUUUGAACUCAUAUAUCAGUCAUAUCAGUUAUCAGAAUUCAUAAUAUCAGUAAUCAGCUUCAGGACUGUCAGACACAGUCAACCAGACCAGUUUUUUAUAAUUCAAACUAUCAGAAAUAAUCGUUCAUCUAUUCAGUAUCUCAGUAUCAGUACACUCAUAUUGUCAGUAUUCAGACUCAGUAGUCAGCAUCUUCACGAGUUCAGUUACAAUUAUGUAUGCAUGUAUGUAUUCUCGCAUUCAUAUUACUCAGCAUUGUUCAUGCAUAUAACCCUUUGAAUUUAGCCUACCUCACUCGUAUACUCAGUAAAUUCAGACGUACUGACACAUUUGUGCUAUGGUUCUUUCUCUUAUGUUACACCAUAGGUUCAGAGGCACGAGCUCUAGAUCAGUAGUAGCAUUCCAGUAUUCAGAGUUUGCAGUGAGUCUUUUUCAUUCAAGGACAGUAUGAUUGUUGCUUCAUUUGUUGUUUUAGUUUAGUUACUAGAUGGAUUUAGUUGGGGACAUGUCCCAUCAACUCCUUAUUUUGACAGUUUAGAGGCUUUCCAGACUAUAGCAUGUCGGACAGUUAUUUUAGAUUUGUUUUGGUAUUAUUACACCAUUUUCAGAUGUUUAUUCACAUUUGAACCUUAUGGCCAUUCAAUACAUGUUUCCACAUUUUCAUGUUAUAUUAUACAGUGUACAGGUAUAGAUAUCAGUCAUGGGUUAGCUUGUGGUCCUUCGGGGUCAUGAGCACCGUGUAGUAUUUCAGUUCAGAAAAUUGGGGUGUUACAUCUAUUCCGAUGUUAAUUUCCCUUUUGGGAGAAACUUCGAGAAGGUCUUCAGGGAACACAUCUGGAAAUUCCCUUACUACUAAAACUGACUCGAGACAUGGAGUUUCAAGACUGGAGUCUUUGACUCAAAUAAGAUGAUAAACACACCCUUUAGAUAUCAUUUUUCUUGCCUUAAGAUAGGCAAUGAUCUGACUCCUAAGCAAAGAGGUAUUGCCCCUCCAUUUAAUGAUUGGUUCAUUGAGAAACUAAAAUUGAAUGAUUCUAUUUCUACAGUCAACUGAAGCAUAGCAUGAGUGAAGCCAAUCCAUGCUGAGAACAACAUCAAAAUCAGUUAUCUCUAACUUUACAAGAUUAGCUGAGGUGAAUUUUUGGGAUACUGUGAUUGGGCAAUUUUUGUAUACCCGUCUAGCUAUAAUAGAUUUACCCACUAGGGUAGACACUGAGAAAGGUUCUGCUAAAUUUUUGGGACUAGCAUCAAAAUUGAUCGCUAUAUAAGGAGUCACAAAAAAGUGAAGCUUCGGGAUCUGAUAAAUCAUAAAUAUGAAGAUGAAAGACCUGUAACAUACCCGUAACCACAUCAAGAGAACUCUCCUAAUUCUGUCGAGUUUGAAGAGCAUACAACAUGUUCUGAUACUGCCCAUUAGUUAUGCUGGAAGCGGUACCCUAUUGAGUCAAGCGAUCGGCUGGAACUGAAGGACGAUUAGACUGACCCUACUGGCUGGCCUUUAGGCAAUCUCUGACUCUAUGGCCUGGCUUGCCAAAUCCAAAACACACAUCACUGCCAGCUCUACACACACCCUGAUGAUGCCUGCCAUAUUUCCCAUAAAGUGGAUUAGUACGAACAUUGUUCACACUACCCUAGGACUUGGAGACUGGCACUCUAUCCCGACUAUCUUUCCUAAACUUAGGCACUGGUACACUAGCUGAAGAUGGGGUUGGGGCUGAGGAAUUCUAUCAGAAUUGAGAACGAUUACCACCCUCUAACCUCAGUUGAGAAAAAGUUAAAACUACCCAUUCUGGCCUUUUUAUUCUCUCUCUCCUUCUCCUUACGCUUCUCUUCCUCAAUUUACUGAGCAUGAACCAUAGAUAAGCCCAUCUCCUUAAUUAACAUUGCAGUCCUACACUCUUUGACCACACUAUCAGAUACCCUAAAUACAAACUUACUUAUUCUAGAAUUGUUAUCAGCCACCAUCGAAGGAGCAUACCUCGCUAAUUGAGUAAACUUAAGUGAGUACUUCUUCACACUCAUACUACUCUACUUCAAGUUAAUGAACUCCUGAAUCUUAGCCUCCCUUAACUCUAAUGGGAAGAACCUAUCAAGAAAAGUCAUGGCAAGCUCUUCCCACUCAACUGGCCCUGAUAUGCAACCAACUCUGCACUCUCAGUUGAGGUGAUGCCCAUGAUAUCAGUCACCUUCUGAACCAUAUCUAGAAUUUUUUAUGGAUUCUCCUCAAACUUGGAUCCCAAAAAAGAGGGGGAUUCAUUCGGGUGAAAUCCUGUAUCCUAGCUGUAGCUAUGUUUGCAACUGGAUUAGCUGGGGAAAUAGCCUGUUGAUUGUUCUGAGCAGCUACUGAAUAAGCUAAAGUAGUGAAAACAUCUUUGAAUUCGGCAUAAGAGACAUGUUCAUUCAGGGGAUCUUCCUGAACAAAGGUCGUGUAGNNNNNNNNNNNNNNNNNNNNNNNNNNNNNNNNNNNNNNNNNNNNNNNNNNNNNNNNNNNNNNNNNNNNNNNNNNNNNNNNNNNNNNNNNNNNNNNNNNNNNNNNNNNNNNNNNNNNNNNNNNNNNNNNNNNNNNNNNNNNNNNNNNNNNNNNNNNNNNNNNNNNNNNNNNNNNNNNNNNNNNNNNNNNNNNNNNNNNNNNNNNNNNNNNNNNNNNNNNNNNNNNNNNNNNNNNNNNNNNNNNNNNNNNNNNNNNNNNNNNNNNNNNNNNNNNNNNNNNNNNNNNNNNNNNNNNNNNNNNNNNNNNNNNNNNNNNNNNNNNNNNNNNNGUGUAGGCUGAUUCCCGUUCCUUCUUUUGUUAUUUCUCUUAGGAGGUAUUAUCUGAAAAUAAAAUGAAGGAUGAGUUAGAAAAAGAGUUUAAAUAGAGCUCAUGCUCAUUCGCAUGACAUGAAUACUGAAAAAAGGUAAAACUUUUGCUAAAACAUCUUGUAGCCUCUUGUGCAUAAGUGUGGUGUGCUUCACACCCAUGCGCAAGACUCUACUCAACGCGGCUUUCAAACUACCUAGGAUACUUUAAAACUCUGGGCUCUGAUACAAAGUUUUGUCAUGACCCGAGGCUACCUCCUAGUCGCGACAACAGAGCUUACGAUAACAAGUGACCAUAAGCUGGUACCUGUUGUGAGUAUUAAAUAAAAUAUUAACAUAGCACAUGUGUUGGAGAUAAACUAAGAAAUUAUUGUAAAUCUGAAUACAGAAAUACUGAAUCAAUCAUAAAUCUGGGACAUCUGGUAAAAUACUAAAACUAAAUUCUCUAGCUAAAAUAAUUGAUAAGACUGAUAAAAACUGACUAACUUCUAACUAACUGUCUGAUUAUCUGAAAGCCUCUAAACUGACUGAGGAGUUGAUGGGACAAGUCCCCAACUAACUUCUACUGACUAAAAAUAAGGAAUACCAAGAUGACUGAAUAAUCAUAACUUGUCCUCGAUGGAUGAGGACUCACUACUAUGUCUGCUGAAUUACACUAAGUUGUCUAACUGUGGCCGGGAUACUGUGCGUCUGAACCAAUGAUAUAAGACAUCAUAGUGUAAAGAAGAGUAUAUGGUCAGUACUUUAAAUGUACUGGCAUAUGAGAUGGGGACUGGAUAAUAUGCAUGGGGUAUUGUGCAAACCAAAUAAGGACUAAUUGAAUAGCAUGAGAUAACUUAAUAUAAAUGCAUGAAAACUAUAACAUCUGAGAAUGCAAGACCAAGCAUAAACUUAUAUGUAAAAUAAUCAGUAAACUGAAGGACUGAAAUCUGAUAACUGAAUAACUGAGAAUAUGUAUGCUUUGGUCAAGCAAACCUGAACUAAAAUUAUACUGAAUACUGCGCUGAGACUGUGGGAGGUAUCAUCUAACCAACAUGCCCCAAUCUAAGCUAAUCAGGGUCCAACCUGUAACCCCAGUUUGAAGGGUAUCAGUACCGUGCCACGGGUACUAACAGUGGCUGUGUGGAUCCACUAAACUGGUGUCCCAAAGGACUAAGGAGUCACCCUCAACUGGCAGGUGCUCUAAUGAGAUAUAUGUUACCCUCAAUUGGCAGGUAGACACCUUGUCACCCCUCAACUGACAGGUAGACAUCUCUAACCUAUGCUGGCUACGUAGUUCUAUAACUCGGGGAUUGCUACUAUGGGUUACACCCUCUAUUUAUAGGUGAGCCAUCAUCCCUGAGUUCACUCGGUGUUAAAUCCUAUUCCCAACUAAACUGACACUAAUACUAGAAUGGACUGAACUAGACUAAACAUUAUUACAUAACUGAUAGUGCUCAUCAUGAUCAUAAACAAGUAUGUAUACUGAUAAGAGUCAUGGAUUAACUGUCUCAGUACUUGAAAAGCUGAAUUCAUGUAAAACACAUUGGUAUCAGGUGUUCAUAACCCACUAGCACUGAAUGAAUAUAAGUAUGUGAUAUCAACCUUGAAAUAUAGUAAUACAUGAUUAUUGUUCAAAUACCAAAACAUGGAAUUUCAUUGAAAUAUGUGAAAAUCAUAAACUUAAAUAUGAGAAUAUCUUAACUAUGAGGAAACUAUAGGAAUUUAUGGCUAAACUCGUAACGUGAGGAUUCAUCUUGAAACCAAUUGAACAUGACAUGGAAAUUUCAAUACUCAAACAUGAUAUGGUUUAUUCUACUUGAAAAUACUUCUAACUAUAACUUGUAAUUGAAUUAACAAGAGACUCAUGGAUUUAGUUUAACUUGAACAUUUAAAACUCAUAAUUUAAUACACCAAAAAGGGUUCUUGGACUCCAUGGGUGAAAGGAACCCAUGGAUGAACAUCACACAUACCUUAAUGGCUAAAAUCUUAAAGAUUACUUGAACUUAAGAGCUUUAACCCUUGUAUUCUUAAGAUGAAAGCAUGGGUUUGUUCUUGGGUAAAAAAAGGGUUUAUUAGGAGAAUUUAUGAGUAAAAGGGAAAAUAAUGCUCUUUAGGGACUCAAAUUUUGUGUUAUGGAAGAGUUGGGUGAAGGGAAAAUGACUAAAAUUCCAUUUAAAUGACAAGGAACAAAAGAUGGACAAAAGGGGAAGGGGGCGACGCAGGCUAUGGAGCGGGGAACUAGGCCAAGCGGCGCCCGCCUUACCCCGGCAGACUGGACCAGGCGGCGCUCUCUUAUCCUGGUGAUGCUACUAUUUUAGUUUUCCAACUACGCCCCUACGCUCGUCUAAAAAUUCUGAAACUCUUUUGAGAUAUACUUUGACCCACCCCAAUCAUGAAUCAACUCAAAAAUCAAUAUCUCAGGGUCAGGAAGACCAAAAAUAAAAUCAUCAAAGUUUAGGGGCCUUGGAAAUGACUAAGACCUCAAUACUUAGUGAAAUUUCUAAAUCUUGGACCCCCUUCAACAUACAAUCAUAAGAUGAAUUGAACUAGGAUCUUACGGGGUAUUACAUAUGGUAACCACCUCCUAUGUAUUAUUUUGGACUAAAGCAUCAAUCUAUGUUUGCAUGGCAUAGAUCUAUAUAGGAUCUUUUAAUGAAGCUUCAUAAGAAUCAGGUCCAGUUUCAGAAGAAACAAUAGCCAAAAAAGUAUAAUAGAUAGGUGAAAUGGAGGAAUAGCUAAGAUACUUAGAGAUAGGAUAAGAGCAUGUAGUAUUCCUUUUUGCUGAGUAAACAAAAUCUUAAAGCCACGUUGGAGUUUUAGUACCUCUUGUGAACUUUUUCAAUUGAGCUGCAUAAAUAACAGAUGAGGUGCCUGAGUAGAAGCAUGAGGGAUAAGAGUUGUAUGAUCAAUAUCAUAAAAAUAACUGGUUGAAACUUCAACAGCAUCAACUAGCUCAUCUAGUGAAGAAUUUAUAGCAACAGAAGAUGGAGCAGGAAAACUAGUUUGAUCACUACGUAUAUCAACAAACACUGGAUUACUGAUGCCACUUGACACAGCCUGUAAUUGGGCCUUGUCGUAUGGGCACCUCAAUCCCAACAAGGACCAAAGAUUGCCCCGUUAACCCAAUCUAACCAUCAUAUCAACACUCAAGUGUCAGAUGGAGUCCGUCUAUAAAAUAAGAUUAACAAAAACAAAACUACAAUCAUAGCUUAUGGAGCAUCUAAUAAAUCCAUUAAAAUCAACAACUAACCAACAUACCCAAGUCCAUAGUCAUCUGUAAAGCCUCUACAAAAUUGAUGUCUACAAUAUGUUGGUACAUGCCCCCGAUAAUAGCCAGAACCAAGUCUAAAACAAGUCUAAUACAUAAGAUAAAAGACUAUAAAAAAUAUUCCUUCAAAUAAUGGAAGCUCACCACUUCAAUGUCAAUACACAAUUCGCUCGAACACCUGGUCACUGCACAGGAAAAGAAGAAGAAGAAGAAGAAGAAGAAGAAGCUCUGGCCCCUAUGCCACGUAAGGACAAAGCGUCCAGAGAUGGUUAGUUAUUGGAGCACUAGCAUGUACUCAAGGGUAAGAAUAAAAUAGUGUAGCCAUUCAAAACCAAGUCAAACUAUCACAUCCAACCGUAUUUAUGUCAAUAUAGUUAUAUAGAAAGAUACACAUAUACAUAAAGGUACAUAAUGUGCCAAAACAAGGAAUAAGUCAUAACAUGCGUUCUCAAAGUAAUUCAAUUAUGAGACACGGUGUGAAGGACUCAAACCUCUUAUCCUUAUAGAUUAGAAAAUUAAACUUCUCUGUUACAUUAGGCAAGAGGACCCAAACCUCAAGCCAUCUUAUUUCAUAUGGCAAGUGGACCUUAACCGCAAGUCAUUACAUCUUAAAUGAUAAGUGGACACUAACCACAAAUAGUCUCAUCGUAUAUGGUAAGUGGACACUAACCACAAACCAUCUCAUUUGGCAAGUGGACCCUAACCACAAUCCUUCUUGUAUGGAAAGUAGACCUUAACCACAAGCCUUCAUAUGUAUGGCAAGUGGAAAUUAACCACAAGUUGUCAUCUCUUUUAUGGUAAGUGGACCUUAACCAUAAACCGUCACAACCAUUACUAGUCAACAAUUAGGACUCUAACCCUUUAUCAAUGCAUUAACACCCACUCAAUCCAACACAUAAGGACUUUAACCUAUUUAGAUAAUUCAAGCCACCAAUCCACAAUUUAAUAUUUCAUGUACGACUACACGAUCUUUAUAAAACAAUUUAACAACCAAUUAUUUAACUAGUCCAAUGCCUUAGUUCAUACCACAAUGCAAAUUCAUUCAUGGUCGUCAAGACCCUUACAAACCACUCAUUCUUCAUUAGCACUCUUAUACCAAAUUUUAGUUCAAAACACAAUUCAAUUCCAUGCUUAGGGACUCCAACCUUUUUAGUUUUCAUACCACCAAAGUCACCAAAUUAAUUUAUUACAUGGACAUCAAGGCCAUCACAUAUCCAUUUACCAAGAAUUCACAUUCAUUAUGCCAAUGUCAUAGUUCAUUCAUACUCAUUAGACCUAUGUCAUAGUUCAAUGCACCAUUAACAAGUGGCUAGUUAUUUCUCAUAGACAUUUUCAUAAACACCUUGAGAGCAUACAUUUAUUAAGACCAAAACCAAAGUACAAAUCAUCAAAUCUAGAUUUAAUCAUGACCCUUUUGUCAAACCACCAUCAACAAGCACCCACAUAUGUAAUUCAUCCCCAUAAACAUAUAUAAACACAAAUUUAAGCAAGAGUAAAUAAUACCCAACACAAUGAAUCAAACCCUCAACAUUUGUUUCAAAAACCACCAUUAAAGAUUCAUAGACAAUGUUUAAAUAAAAUAAUAUUUGAGAAAUAACAAUGAGUGAAGAGUCACAUGCCUUAUACAAGAUGAUUCAUGGAAGGAACUUAAUCCCUUUAGCCUCUAAAAGAACACCUCUUCAAACCCUAGCCUCCAAUCCUCAAGAGUGAGGUAGAGAGUGUUUUUAGUGAGUUUUAAUCUUACAAAAUAUGUUAUGAGAAGCUAUAACAUGUUACAUAGUGAGGGGACUUAAGGGUUUUGGGGUGGGAAAUGUCCAUAGUGUCCUCAAGUUAAAAGCUGAAAAUAAACGCCGGGGAAAUACCUUAGGGUAUGAGUGGUACCCUAAAUCAUACCCUAGGUCUCCCAUGGACCCCUAAACUAUCCCACAUAUGACUCUACUAGCAUGACUCAUACCCUAAGGUAUGAGAAGUACACUUACCCAUACCCUAACUCGUAUCCUAAGCAGGAUACUUUGGUCAAGACUUAUGGCAUCAUAUGAAUUGGUAACCUAUGACUUGUACCCUAAUAUAAGAGUUGGACCUUGCACAGACUACUCCUCAACUUACACUGUCUAACAUACGAGAGGGGGAACAAAGUUGUGUCCUAGGGUAUGACUAGUACCCUUGAGUCAUACCAUGGACAGAAUAUCCAUGACCCAAGAAUUUUUGCAAGGCCAAAGUUUUGGGUGUUUCACCACUAUUCUUCAUCAAUAAAAAAUGAAAUAUGUGUUCCUUAAAAAUAAUAUAUCUACUAAAAAAAAUCUUCUUUAACUUAAAAUCAUAAAGUCUAUAUCCUUUUGUGUAUUUGAGUAGCCUAUAUGCACAGCAGGCAUAGCUCUGGGUUGAAACUUAUCUACCUUUUCUGUAAUAGUAGUAAAACAUAAGCAACCAAGGACUCUCAGAUGGUACAUAAGCAACCAAGGACUCUCAGAUGGUACAGACAAGGGAUUGUGCCAUAAAAUAUUUUAUAAGGAGAUUUGCCUGCUAAUACAACUGAUGGCAGUCUAUUAAUCAAGUACACUACAGUUAAUACACAAGCUCCCUAAAAGUGAAGUGGUAUACUCCCUUGAAACCUGAGUGCUCUUGCCACUUUCAAGAUAUGUUUGUGCCUUCUCCCCACCACUCUAUUCUGUUGUGGAGCUACUAUAUUGUCUAAUACCACUAUAAAGUAAGAAAUUAGUAAACUCUUUACUAAAAAACUCAGCACCAUUAUGAGUUCUGGUCAUUCUAACUUGUUUAUGAAACUGAAUUUGCACCAUUUUGACAAAGGAUUUAAGUAAAACAAUAGAGUCAUUUUUCAAUUUCAUCAGAAAAAUUCAUUUCAUUUUUGAGUGAUCAUCCACAAAAAUAAGAAAAUACCUAUGACUUUAAGAAGUAGGAACCUUUUUAGGCCCCAUAUAUCAAUGUGGAGAAGAUGAAAAAUACCAUCUGACCUAGUAGUACUGAGAGGAAACAAUUUUCCUAUUUGUCUAGCUAAUGGACAUACAGUGCAAUCAUGGAAACUACAAGAUCUCACUUUAUUUUGUAGAAUAUAUAACUGCUUCAUUAUAGAGGCUGGCAUAUGACCAAGUCUUUUGUGCCAACCCUGAACAUCUUUAGAUAAUGUGUUUGCAAUAUAUCUACUAGAUUUUAUUCCUUCCUUUAUUCCUAAAUCCAUCACCUUACCAGAAUUUUUUGGAAGUAGAAGAUAUAAGCCUCCUUGUUCCUUACCAAUCCCCCUCAUAGGUCCUAAAAUACACAGAAAUGGGGAAAGAAAAGCACUAAGCACUUUAAUUCUCUAGUCAUCUAGAGAUUGACAGUAAGUUAUAUGUGAAAUUUGGUACAUAUAAUACAUUUCCAAUAUCAUAACCUCCUGCAUGUUACAUCUGCCCUAAUUGUUAACUAGUACAGUCCUACCAUUUGGUAGAUGCAUAUUACUCUUCUUUGGAUCAUGCAUAUUAGUCAAACUAUUCAUCAACUAUAGGUUACUGGUCAUAUGAUCUAUUGUUCCAAUGUCAAUUAUCCAUGAAUCUUUAUAUAUAUGCAUAGAAUUAGAGUUUUCGGUAGCAUUACCUACCACAUUUCUAGCCAGCUCUACUCUCUUUCCUUUAUCAAGCAUGUGCAUAAUUUGGUUGUACUACUUAUAAGUAAAGUAAUUUUGCCCUUUGUUUCCCUGUUUAUUAUAAACAUAGAUUCCUGAGUGAUGUUGUGAUCUUUGAGCAGUUCCAUUACUUCCAACAAUACGAGUGCACUUGGCUCUUUGAUGAUAUUAUUAUUUAUGAACAUUCUCAAUAGAAUUAGAUACAACUCUUAUAUUCUGAGCAAUAUCAUGUAUUUCGUCAAAACAAUCAUGUAUAGACAUAUUUGCUUGCCUUAUAGACUUGUCCCAACUACCUUCUCCUAUGAUGUUAUUACCUUAUCUAAUCAAUGGUUUCUUUUUUCCUCUGUAGCCUAGUGGAUAACCUAUUACUCUGUUGCACAUGGCUUCACUGUGACCAUUUCUUCUACAAAGGUCACAAAACAAAUAGCUACUAAAAUUGCUACUUGUUACCACCAAAAUUGCCAGAAUGGUUAUAAUUGUUAAAAUUUUUGCCCUCGGACUGACUAUUAUAAAAAACUUAAUAAACCUGUACUUUCACUCAGCACAUGCCCUGUUUAUGAUGAACUAGUUGUUAUUUAGUAUGUAUUAGGGUACAAGAAUCUAUAUAUAAGCAACACGAACUUCAACAUUAGUUCAAUUCCAAGACAAGAACACUUAUGAAGUUCCUUAACACCUUCAACACAACAUUAUGAAUAAUCUAUCUAAUAAGUGUGUUAAUGUUCAAAAAAGAGAUGAAAUAGAAUUUUAAGGCCAAGUACCCCGACUUCACGGAGUUUUGUUAAGUAAUAAUUCCCCUCAAUGUACCCGAGGUUAUGAAAUCUUCCUCCCAGGAUAAACUGGCCUUCAAUCCAAACAAUAGCGGUACCUCAAAUUAUUGGAUUCAACGAACUCACUCAACGAUUUGAUUGAUCACACAGAAUGUUUUUGAAGACAAGAAGAGAGCUUUUUUUUCAGAAAAUUUAUGUCUAAGCCUGUAGAUGAAGGCAGGUUUAUAGCCUAUCAGAUGCCUCUUCGAAAAGGUGGCAAUAGUUCACUUAAAAGGUGUGACCUUUCUGGAAAUUCAUGUUUGUUCGUCCAAAGAAUGUGUCUUUUCCGAAAAGGCAUACCAUUUCAUGAAACAGUGUGUCAUUUCGUUAAAGGGUUGCAUCCCCUCCGUAGCAUCACUUCGUUUCUGCAUUACAUUUCAAAAUAGUGUCAGCCACUACAUGCAUGCGUAUAAAUGGAGGAUUAAAAAAUCAUAGAAAAUAUCUGUUUUCUCUUUUGGUAUUUUUGUAUUAAAUUUAUGUCAAAUAAACUUUGUCCAAAAAAAUGGAUCUCAUCGAUUGACAAAUCCGAAGCCGAAGCUGAGCAAGCGAUGACGACGGUACGAGACAUCUCUUAUUUCUUGCCUCACUUACCAAGUGGAAUAAGUGUUUCUUAAUAAACACUUGAAAGUCAUAUUCUCCCACCAAUGUGGGAGAAUCAGUAGACUUUUCAUUUUAGAGUACACUUUCUUUUUUAGUGUUUUCUUCUCUAUUUUUCCUCCACUUGUUACCCUCCAUUUUCCAUUCAUACUUUUCAUAUACUUUGAACCCAACAAUCCCCCACAUGAAUGAGGAAUGGCUAUUUUUCAUAAAAAUUUUACGGACAAGUAUACGAUCAUCAAGCAAAGAUGAUUGCAUCUGGAUAAAUGGGUUUUUCGUUCAAUUUUCCGUAGUGAACAUGCAUCGGAUGCACUCGGUCAAUCAGUAGAUUUGAUAUCUUUGAACCGUUGAGCUUUAAUGUACACCUAGACAACACAUGUCACACAACCAGCCUUUUACUGUUUAUGAUUCUCAUGGUUUUGUUCUUUUCAGCCAUGAACACGUCCCAGUUUUAUGAGAGCUUAGAGAAUAGGCCUUUACUAACAUUCUCCUUGAAGUGACUUCCACUUCGCCCUCACAUAGGUGAUUUCUAAAUGUUUAGUCCUAUAGAUUAAACUAUUUGGUCAAAUCUGCCAAAUUUAGAUUAUCAUUAAAAGAUUUUUCACCUUAAGUCUUAUCCUUAUUUCCUAAACAUUGUCUACAUCAUAAGAAUGUCUUGGGUAUAUUAACAAUGUUGAACCUUUCAAACACAACUUUGUUUGAUCUCCUUGAACCUAGCUUUUGGGAUCUCCAGUCUGCUAGGUAGAGUUACCGCUAUGCUAACUUGUCCUAUGCCGUAAACCCAUUCCCUUGGAUGUCCUUUCCACUCCUUCUCUAGAUAGGCCUUUUGUAAGUAGAUUCGACACAUUAUCCUUAGACUUUACAUAGUCAACAAUGAUAAUUCCACUAGAGAGAAGUUCCUUAAUGGUAUUAUGUCCCCGUCGUAUGUGAUGAGAUUUACCGUUGUACAUAAUGCUCCGUGCCCUACCUAUUACCGCUUUGCUAUCAUAGUGUAUACAUACUGGUGCCUCUAGUUUGGGACAAUGAGGAAUAUCUUCCAAGAAAUUUCGAAGCCAUUCUGCUUCUUCACCGGAUUUAUCCAAUGCAAUAAAUUCAGAUUCCAUUGCAGAGCGAGCAAUACAAGUCUUUUUGGAUGAUUUCUGAGAGACUGCUCCUCCACCAAUAAUAAAUACAUAUCCACUUGAGGAUUUUACUUCGUUCGAUCCGGUGAUCCAAUUUGCAUCACUGUAUUAUUCGAGUACCGUGGGAUAUUUUUUAUAAUACAAGGCAUAGUCUUUAGUGUAUUUAAGAUACCCCAAAACUCUUUUCAUUCCCAUUCAAUGUGUUUUGUUGGGAUUACUCAUGUACCAACUCAAUUUACUAAUAGAGCAUGAUAUGUCUAGUCAUGUACAGCUCAUUAUAUACAUUAAAAAACCCAAUACUCUUGCAUACUCCAAUUGUGAGUCACUUUCACCUUCAUUCUUUCAAAGUGCAAAGCUCAAUUCAAUCGAGUCUUGGCAAUAUCGAAUUCCAUAUACUUGAAUUUGUCAAGUAAAUUUUUGAUAUAAUGAGACUGUGACAAUGCCAACCCUUGUGGAAUUCUAUGGAUUCUUAUUUCUAAGAUCACAUCCAGAACUCCAAGGUCUUUCAUAUCGAACUUACUCUCGAGCAUUCAUUUCAUUGCAUUUAUGUCUAAAAUGUCUCUACUGAUGAUCAACAUAUCAUGCACAUAUAAACAUACAAUGACUUGGUGAUUUGGAGUGUCUUUAAUAUAAACACAUUUAUCACAUUCAUUUAUCUUGAAUCCGUUUUCCAACAUGGUUAGGUCAAACUUUGCAUAUCAUUGCUUAGGUGUUUGUUUUAGUCCAUAAAGUGACUUAUCAAGUUUACACACCUUAUUUUCUUUUCCUAGGACCACAAAACCCUCAGGUUGUUCCAUGUAAAUUUCUUCCUCAAAUUCUCCAUUUAGGAAUGCGAUUUUCAUAUUCAUUUGAUGGAUUUCAAGACCAUAUACCGCCGCCAAGGCAAUUAAUAUUCGAAUCAACGUUAUCCCUGUUACUGGCGAGUAUGUAUCAAAGUAAUCAAGGACUUCUUUUAUUUGAAGCAUUUUACUACAAGUCUUGCCUUGUAUUUGUCAAUAGUAUCAUCCGCUUUCAUUUUUAUUUUGAAUAUCCAUUUAGAACCUAAAGGUUUAUUUCCUGGAGGAAGAUCAACCAAUUCCCAUGUAUGGUUGUUUGAGAUUGAAUCAAUCUCACUAUUGACUGCCUUUUUCCAAAAGGAUGAGUCUGAUGACAACAUUGCUUCUUUAUAUAUUUGAGGCUCAUUUUCUAAGAGAAAUGUUACAAAAUACGAACCAAACGAAGUUGACGUUCUUUGACGUGUACUACAUCUUGGAUUUUCUUCAUUAUGUACAUUGUCACUUAGUUCAUCUCGAGAUCGUUUAGACCCCCCACUAGACUGUUCAUGUCUAGUUUUAUACGGAUAAAUGUUUUCAAAGAAUUCGCCACCCUAUACCAGAUUUAUAAAUCUAAUAAAGGAAAAAAUACUUUCCAAAAAUAGACAAGUUGAUUUCUUAAAAAAUAAAAUUUGUAGUUUAACAAUAGAACAAACUUUACAAAAUCCUAAACUAAUGGAGAAAAUAGAAUUUUCGAAAAAUCAGUUUUCAUUACAAAUUUGUGGAGAUCACCCAAAUACUUUUUGACAAAGAAAAAAGUAUGUGGUUAGUCUUCCAUAUAAAGACAGUUUUCAAGAGAAUAAUAUUCAAACUAAGGCAAGACCUUGUCAAAUGAAUUCUAAAUAUUUAGAAUUAUGUAAGAAAGAAAUUGAUUCUCUUUUGCACAAGGGCUUAAUAAAACCUUCAAAAUCUCCAUGGUCAUGUACCACUUUUUAUGUUAAUAAACAUGUUGAACAAAAAAGAGGAGUUCUAAGAUUGGCUAUCAAUUACAAACCACUCAACAAAGUCCUCAAAUGGAUCAGGUAUCCAAAUCCUAAUAAGAAGGAUUUAUUGGAUAGAUUAUAUGAUGCUCUAAUAUUUUCGAAAUUUGAUUUGAAAUCAAGUUAUUGGCAAAUCCAGAUAAUGGAAGCAGAUAAAUAUAAAACUGCUUUUAAUGUUUCAAUGGGUCAAUUUGAAUAGAAUGUCAUGCCUUUUGGAUUGAAGAAUUCUCCAUCAAAAUUUCAAAAUCUUAUGAAUGAUAUUUUCAUGCCUUACAGCAAUUUCAUAAUUGUUUAUAUUGAUGAGAUUUUGGUUUUCUCAAAAAAUAUAGAGAUACACUUUAAACAUUUGAAUCUUUUCAAGAAAAUCAUCAUACAAAAUGGGUUAGUAAUAUCUAAACCUAUGAUGUUCCUUUUUCAGAAAAAAGGUAAGAUUUCUAGGUCAUAAUAUUGACCAAGGGAAAAUAAUCCCUAUAAACAGAAGCAUAGAAUUUGCUUCUAAAUUUCCGAUAUCAUAACAGGCAAAACUCAAUUAUAAAGAUUUUUGGAUAGUCUGAAUUAUAUAUGUCUUUUUAUAAUGGAACUUGCUAAAGAUACAGUUAUCUUAUAUGAUAGACAAAAGAAAAGUCCCAAUGCAUAGACAUAGGGUCAUGCCCAAGCUGUAAAAAAUAUUAAGGCAACGGUUAACAACUUGUCGUGCCUUACAUUGGCCAAUCCUAAUUGGGAAAAAAUUAUUGAAACAAAUGCUUAUAAUAUUGGCUAUUGAGGAAUUGUAAAAUAAUAUUCCCUACAGGAUAAACAGGUUUAUAUCAUUCAGUUUUAUUUAGUAAAAUGGAUUUCCAGUCCAAAGAAUUAUGCAACAGUUGCAAAAGAAAUCCUUGCAAUAGCAAAAUGUGUUCUAAAAUUUCAAGGAGAUUUACACAACCAAAAGUUUUUAAUAAAACUGAAUGUCAAGCAGCAAAUUCAACUUUAAUAAAGACUGUAAAUAUGAUGUUUCCAAACAAAUAUUUGCAAAAUGGCAAGCUCUAUUAGCUCCAUUUGAUUAUGAAAUUCAAUAUUUAAAGGGAUUUGACAAUAGUCUUACUUACUUCCUUACUAGAGAAUAUUUGAACUAAUGCCUUUUAAUUUAUACAGGAUGGUAUCUUAGUCUUCAAACUCCUCUAAUAGAGGCAGGACCAGAGGAAGAUCAUGCAGAGGCAGAGAAAAUAUCCUUGCCCAAAUGGAAAACUGUAAUACUUCGCAUUUCCAUAGCAUAAUCUAAGUCCCAAUACAUGAGUAAUCGUAAAUGAAAUUUUUGAAACACUCAUUACUUUUCAGUUUAGAGUCUAUCAUUCUUAGGAAAUUCAAUUAGCUUUCCAACAAUAUACAAGUAGCCCAAAUUUGAUAACCAGGUAAGAAGUUAUGGCGAUUUUAAGUUUCAUUCACAACAUCCCGUCAUUUUAACCUUUAGCGCAUCGCGGAGCAGGCCAAUCUCCUAUUUGGAAAAUUUCAAUGAAGGUCCACGAACCUGGUGCAUUAUGCCAUAGGUCAACUUGACAUUUGUCCAUUUCCAGUGUCAAAGCGCGCUACCACUACGUCGCGGUGAACUUCCAGAUCCCAAUCAGUGAAGGACCGCGAUUUCCCGGCGUCGUGCCAUAGACCAGUUUCCUAGUUGUCCGAUUCUAGUGACACGGCGUGAUAGCGCCGCGUCGCGCCAGCCCAAAAAAUUGGGAUUUUCAGUCAGUUCUGAGUUUUAAUUCCAAGGGCUUUUAAGUACUUUUCCCUUGUCCCAGUCAGCCCCAAACACGAAAUUAAGUCCCUAAUAACCUAAUUGGGCAUUAUUCUAAUCAAUUUUUUCCCAAAAUCAAGAAUAUUAUCUCAAGUAGCAAAACCCUAACCUUCAAGAAUCAAGGUCAACUCUCAAGAACUCUCCAUCAAUCCUUCCAAAUUCAUCAUCCCAGGUAUGUUAGAUGUUCAUCCAUGGAGCCCAAGUAACCUAUUUUAAUCACCAAGUUAUAAUCUUUCAAGUUAUUAUGUUUUAAAUUAUGAUUUUAUCCAUGAAUCUCUAAGUACUAUUGAUUUUAUUCCAUGUUGCCAGGAAAUUAUUGUUAUUAUUCAAUCCUCCAUGUUUUAAUAUUAUUAUUUAUUGAAUUAAACCAUGAUUUAAUACUAUUAUGAUGAAUUCAUGCUAUUCCUACAACUUUCAUGACAUUUCUAUGAUUGUUUUAAAACAUGAACUACAAGUGUUUGAUAAAAUGCCUACAAGAGUGAUUGAUUUAAAUGAAAACCUUUCAUGUUUUGUCCUUCAAGCUUUAGUAUCUUUUCAGUAUUAUUGUUUUGAGUCCUGGGGGUAUUGAAUAUUGGAAAACCAUAGUUAUUUAUUUAGUCUAGUCUCAGUACAUUACAGAAUAGUCUUCAGAUUAUAUUAUGAGCAUUAUCAGAAUCACCAUAGUAAUUCAACUCAAAACAAUCUAGUAUCUCAGUGUCUUUCAGUUGGGAGUAGGAUUUAGCACUGAGAGAGUGCAGGGAUGGAGGCUUCCCCGUCAGAUAGGCAAAGUCGUUAGUAGAAGUCCCUAUACUCUAGAACUAUGUAGCCAGUAUAGGAUAUAAGUAGUCACCGGUCAGAUUAGGCUUGACUAUCUCGCAGGGGUCACCCGUCAGUUCAAGCUUGACACCCUUAGUCCUUUGGAUAUUAUAUCUUUUUAGUGGAUUCACAAAGCCAUUAUUAGUACCCUUGGUACGGUAUUAACACCCUUCCAACUGGGUUUACAGGUUGGAGCCUGAUUAGCUCAAAUUAGGGAAUGUCGGUUAGAUGAUACCUCCCACAGUCUCAGAUAUAGUCUCAGUUACAACCUCAGUUCAAUUAUACAAUCUUAGUGUUGUUUGACCAAAGCAUACAAAUUUCAAUUAUUUUAGUAUUUCAAUUUACAGAUAUUACUCAAUUUAUGUUAUAUGCUUGGUCAUGCAUCAUCAGUAUUUACAGAUUUUCAUGCAUUUUUAGUAUCUAUAGAUUCCAUGCUCUCUACUCAGUAGUCCAUGCUUUACAUGCAUAUCCAGUUAAUUAUUAGUUCUGUUAAUAAAACCAAGCAUACCAUCCUACCUCAUUUAGCAUACCAGUAUAUUCAAAGUACUGAUCGCAUACCUUUCUUUUGCAUUAUGAUAUAUCAUAUCAUAGGUGUUGACGCUCAGUUCUCAGAUCACACUUAGUCCCUUAAAUCAUCAGCAGUAUAGUAG